rnacentral:rRNA from 1 species
GAUGAACGCUGGCGGCGUGCCUAAUACAUGCAAGUCGAGCGAACAGACGAGGAGCUUGCUCCUCUGACGUUAGCGGCGGACGGGUGAGUAACACGUGGAUAACCUACCUAUAAGACUGGGAUAACUUCGGGAAACCGGAGCUAAUACCGGAUAACAUGUUGAACCGCAUGGUUCAACAGUGAAAGACGGUCUUGCUGUCACUUAUAGAUGGAUCCGCGCCGCAUUAGCUAGUUGGUAAGGUAACGGCUUACCAAGGCAACGAUGCGUAGCCGACCUGAGAGGGUGAUCGGCCACACUGGAACUGAGACACGGUCCAGACUCCUACGGGAGGCAGCAGUAGGGAAUCUUCCGCAAUGGGCGAAAGCCUGACGGAGCAACGCCGCGUGAGUGAAGAAGGUCUUCGGAUCGUAAAACUCUGUUAUUAGGGAAGAACAAAUGUGUAAGUAACUAUGCACGUCUUGACGGUACCUAAUCAGAAAGCCCCGGCUAACUACGUG